rnacentral:rRNA from 1 species
CAAGUCGUACGAAGACCUUCGGUCUUAGUGGCGGACGGGUGAGUAACACGUGAGAAUCUGCCCUUAGGAAGAGAAUAACAAUUGGAAACGGUUGCUAAUACUCUAUAUGCCGAGAGGUAAAAGGACUUAUCCACCUUAGGAAGAGCUCGCGUCUGAUUAGCUAGUUGGUAAGGUAAUGGCUUACCAAGGCGACGAUCAGUAGCUGGUUUGAGAGGACGACCAGCCACACUGGGACUGAGACACGGCCCAGACUCCUACGGGAGGCAGCAGUGGGGAAUUUUCCGCAAUGGGCGAAAGCCUGACGGAGCAAUACCGCGUGAGGGAUGACGGCCUGUGGGUUGUAAACCUCUUUUCUCAAGGAAGAAGUUCUGACGGUACUUGAGGAAUAAGCAUCGGCUAACUCUGUGCCAGCAGCCGCGGUAAUACAGAGGAUGCAAGCGUUAUCCGGAAUCACUGGGCAUAAAGCGUCUGUAGGUUGCUUGCCAAGUCUGCUGUUAAAGACUAGGGCCUAACCCUGGGAAAGCAGUGGAAACUAGCAGGCUUGAGUGUGGUAGAGGUAGAGGGAAUUCCUGGUGUAGCGGUGAAAUGCGUAGAUAUUAGGAAGAACACCAAUGGCGAAAGCACUCUGCUGGGCCACAACUGACACUGAGAGACGACAGCUAGGGGAGCAAAUGGGAUUAGAUACCCCAGUAGUCCUAGCCGUAAACGAUGGAUACUAGGUGUUGCACGUAUUAACCCGUGCAGUAUCGUAGCUAAGGCGUUAAGUAUCCCGCCUGGGAAGUACGCUCGCAAGAGUGAAACUCAAGGGAAUUGACGG